rnacentral:lncRNA from 1 species
CCGGCCGUUCCCAGAGAACACUGGACACGGUGCCAGAGAGAUGAGGGGAGAGAGGAAGAGAGAAGAAAGCAAGAGAGGAAGACCCAAUUUAUUUUUGGUUCUGACCAGGCAGUGACCCCCUCGAAGGCCCACAGUACAGCCCCACUGUCCUGCUGCCGCCCUGUUGAUUCAGAAUGUUUCCUCUUUCCUGUUGGAGACUGCUCUGCAUAGAUGGACAGGUGCUGGGGUGGAUCUGCUUGGCUGGACUGGAACAAUUGGAAUUGCAGAUGGAGGGAGAGUUGCAGUUUGAUUGACAGAAAUUUAGAAAUUCUGCAGAAGUUCUGAAACGCUGUAAAUGCCUGAACUGUGGCGCCCAUUUGAGCUCAGAUGUAGGAAAUUUUACUUGGAUCGUUCCUAUAGGUUAGAUUUCUUAUUCUAAAGGUCUGGAAAGCCUCACCAACCCUGAGAUCAGAAUCCAAGAUGGCUGUAUCACACAGUAUUAUUAAAAGCAGCAGUAUUAUAUAGUUUAUUUGGUAACACUUUAC